ACGGGAGGCAGCAGUGGGGAAUAUUGCACAAUGGGGGAAACCCUGAUGCAGCGACGCCGCGUGAAGGAUGAAGUAUUUCGGUAUGUAAACUUCUAUCAGCAGGGAAGAUAGUGACGGUACCUGACUAAGAAGCCCCGGCUAACUACGUGCCAGCAGCCGCGGUAAUACGUAUGGAGCAAGCGUUAUCCGGAUUUACUGGGUGUAAAGGGAGCGUAGACGGGACAGCAAGUCUGAUGUGAAAUGCGGGGGCUCAACCCCUGAACUGCAUUGGAAACUGUUGACCUUGAGUGCCGGAGAGGUAAGCGGAAUUCCUAGUGUAGCGGUGAAAUGCGUAGAUAUUAGGAGGAACACCAGUGGCGAAGGCGGCUUACUGGACGGUAACUGACGUUGAGGCUCGAAAGCGUGGGGAGCAAACAGGAUUAGAUACCCUGGUA
rnacentral:rRNA from 1 species